rfam:Asian citrus Psyllid, Diaphorina citri - Florida Strain, whole genome shotgun sequence.
GACAGUCGCUUUAGCACAUUGAAUGCACCAGUUCAAACAGAUCACUGAAGUGAAGCAAUGUAGCACGUGGUCGGUAUCCGGAUAGAUAACCAUCUGGACAAUUACGUGCUGUUGGCU